rnacentral:rRNA from 1 species
UACGGGGGGGGCAAGCGUUGUUCGGAAUUACUGGGCGUAAAGGGCUCGUAGGUGGCCAACUAAGUCAGACGUGAAAUCCCUCGGCUUAACCGGGGAACUGCGUCUGAUACUGGAUGGCUGGAGAUUGGGAGAGGGAUGCGGAAUUCCAGGUGUAGCGGUGAAAUGCGUAGAUAUCUGGAGGAACACCGGUGGCGAAGGCGGCAUCCUGGACCAACACUGACGCUGAGGAGCGAAAGCCAGGGGAGCAAACGGG